CCUACGGGUGGCAGCAGUCGAGAAUCAUUCACAAUGGGGGAAACCCUGAUGGUGCGACGCCGCGUGGGGGAAUGAAGGUCUUCGGAUUGUAAACCCCUGUCAUGUGGGAGCAAAUUAAAAAGAUAGUACCACAAGAGGAAGAGACGGCUAACUCUGUGCCAGCAGCCGCGGUAAUACAGAGGUCUCAAGCGUUGUUCGGAAUCACUGGGCGUAAAGCGUGCGUAGGCUGUUUCGUAAGUCGUGUGUGAAAGGCGCGGGCUCAACCCGCGGAAGGCACAUGAGACUGCGAGACUAGAGUGAUGGAGGGGGAACCGGAAUGCUCGGUGUAGCAGUGAAAUGCGUAGAUAUCGAGAGGAACACUCGUGGCGAAGGCGGGUUCCUGGACAUUAACUGACGCUGAGGCACGAAGGCCAGGGGAGCGAAAGGGAUUAGAUACCCGGGUAGUC
rnacentral:rRNA from 1 species